rnacentral:misc_RNA from 1 species
UCCCCCUUGCGAAGGCGGUCUCGCUAGAAAAAUCCAACUAGCGAUAAGGGUUGCGCUCGUUGCGGGACUUAACCCAACAUCUCACGACACGAGCUGACGACGGCCAUGCAACACCUGUCACUGGUCCAACUAAAUGACUCUCUUGUUUCCAAGAAAUACGACCAGGAUGUCAAGCCUGGGUAAGGUUCUUCGCGUAGCUUCGAAUUAAACCACACGCUCCACCGCUUGUGCGGGUCCCCGUCAAUUCCUUUGAGUUUUAAGCUUGCGCUCGUACUCCCCAGGCGGGAUGCUUAACGCGUUAGCUGUGCUACUGAAGGGGUCGAUACCUCCAACAGCUAGCAUCCAUCGUUUACGGCGUGGACUAC